UAUGAAAGUUAAGGGGCAGUCUGAUGUCUACUCUACUGCAAAAAACUACUAAGACCAGCAUAAGCUGGUUUUAGCUGGUCUCCCAGCUUAGUUUUAGCUGGUAUUGCUGGUGUAGCAAGCUGUGUUUUGGUCACCUUGACCAGCUGACCCACCAGCUUGUAGGUUUGCCAGGCUGGGAGGACCAGCUUAAACCACCUUAAACCAGCUACCAGCUUAUGCUGGUCUUAGCUGGAUUUUCCGGUAGGGAAUAUCAAAAUUAGCUAACUUAAUUCAAUUGAUUUUGUCGUGUAUAAGUUAAUCCUGCAGCAAGAUACAGGGAAAUGCAAGAUUUUCAGUAGUGAUAUACCUAUAUUACACUAGCUCGCAACUAAGUUAUUAUGUUGACUUGUAUUUUCUGUUUAUGUCCUUCAAAUUUGCAAGCUUCAAACUCUUUAUACCCCCACCACCACAAACAAACCAAAAACAAAGGCACUUUUAAUAGUCACAUGCGUUUUGUUAAACUGUACUUGUCAGUCUCACUGUAGCACUUUCUGUUUACAUUUAUAUUUGUUUUAUCUGUUGUUCUCUUUGUUGUGAGUCUUUCUGUCUGUUUGUGUUUCUGCCCAUCAACAUGUCCAUCCAUUCAGAGCUCCAAUAUCAUCUCAUGAUCUUGGAUAACUUGGUUGAUGGUCAAGAACUGAAGGAUGAGCUCCAAAGUCCUGAUGACUCUCUUGGUGAGCUGCAAGAAGAGGAAGCAGCAGCGCCAGUGAAGACACCUGAGCCGAGGGUGCAUUAGAGAAAAGAGACAUUGAUGGGAAAUAUUGUCUAUGCAAGGUCAAGCAGUAAUCAACCAAGGAAAGAUCACAUUCGGAACACUGAUCCUCCCAAUGUUCUUGACACUCAUUGUGAGUGUUUUCUACAAGAUCACUGAACAAUUUCUCAGAGGCAUCACCUCCUGGAACCCCUAGAGAUCCUCUUCUUGCUUCCUCAAACUGGAGCACACGUCAAAGUCUCUUUUCAGAGAGGUGGAGGGCAUAGAGACCCCGUCUGCUGAACACGGCUGUGGCACAAGAAAAUGUUUGUGGGAGAAGUCCCGCUGUUAUCCAGUGUUGUGACUGUUGACCUCGCCCCUUCUUCUGUGCUGAAUGUGACGUCAUCAUGCACACCAGACAUGUCCUCCAUUGCAUAGAU